GACGAACGCUGGCGGCGUGCUUAACACAUGCAAGUCGAACGGUAAGGCCCUUCGGGGUACACGAGUGGCGAACGGGUGAGUAACACGUGGGUGAUCUGCCCUGCACUUCGGGAUAAGCCUGGGAAACUGGGUCUAAUACCGGAUAGGACUCCGGACUGCAUGGUCUGGGGUGGAAAGCUUUUGCGGUGUGGGAUGGGCCCGCGGCCUAUCAGCUUGUUGGUGGGGUGAUGGCCUACCAAGGCGACGACGGGUAGCCGGCCUGAGAGGGUGACCGGUCACACUGGGACUGAGAUACGGCCCAGACUCCUACGGGAGGCAGCAGUGGGGAAUACUGCACAAUGGGCGCAAGCCUGAUGCAGCGACGCCGCGUGAGGGAUGACGGCCUUCGGGUUGUAAACCUCUUUCAGCAUCGACGAAGCGAAAGUGACGGUAGGUGCAGAAGAAGGACCGGCCAACUACGUGCCAGCAGCCGCGGUAA
rnacentral:rRNA from 1 species